rnacentral:rRNA from 1 species
CGGGGCCCGGGGUGCGUAACGCGUAUGCAACUUGCCCUUAUCAGGAGGAUAGCCCGGGGAAACUCGGAUUAAUACUCCAUAAGAUUUUGAUUGGCAUCGAUUAAAAUUGAAAGAUUUAUUGGAUAAGGAUAGGCAUGCGUCAGAUUAGUUAGUUGGUAGUGUAACGGACUACCAAGGCGAUGAUCUGUAGGGGGCCUGAGAGGGUGAACCCCCACACUGGUACUGAGACACGGACCAGACUCCUACGGGAGGCAGCAGUGAGGAAUAUUGGACAAUGGAGGGAACUCUGAUCCAGCCAUCCCGCGUGCAGAAAGACGGCCCUAUGGGUUGUAAACUGCUUUUGUAUGAGGAUAAAUCUACCUAAGUGUAGGUAGUUGAAGGUACCAUACGAAUAAGCAUCGGCUAACUCCGUGCCAGCAGCCGCGGUAAUACGGAGGAUGCAAGCGUUAUCCGGAUUCAUUGGGUUUAAAGGGUCCGUAGGCGGGCUGAUAAGUCAGUGGUGAAAUUUUGUCGCUCAACGAUAAAACUGCCAUUGAUACUGUUAGUCUUGAGUGAUAUUGAAGUAGCUGGAAUGUGUAGUGUAGCGGUGAAAUGCAUAGAUAUUACACAGAACACCGAUUGCGAAGGCAGGUUACUAAGUAUUAACUGACGCUGAAGGACGAAAGCGUGGGGAGCGAACAGGAUUAGAUACCCUGGUAGUCCACGCAGUAAACGAUGCUA